CUUCUCUCCCUCCACCCCGGGCCGUCAAGGCUGGGAGAGCAGCGCGAGCCGCUGAGGGGGCCGGGCUUCGGCGCGAGCCGCCGGGAACCCGGAGAGCUAGGGUGGGGGAGGGGAAGACAAUGCGGUAAAGAUUGUUCGCGCAGUACUGUUUCUUCCGGCUGGCCCCUUCAGGGUCGUGCUACGGCCAGAAAUCCUGUUCCAUGCCCCUCGGCUCAGGAGCGGGACGAGGGCAGAGGUGGCUCUAGGACCGAAGUUGGGGAAGGGAGGCCCGAAAAGAUCUGGCACACCACUCGGGAGGGGCUGGGCGGCAGGGACUGGCGGGGUGUGUGGCCACGACAGGGUUAAUCGCGUGAGCCGCAGCCGCGUCGCUCAUAGUUUGACUCGGGCCGCUUGUUUUUGUUCCAUUGUGAACCGUAGCCCCGCCGACAAGAACCCGGAUGAUGACGUCACCGGCCUCCCCCUUUUCCGGGACCGUGGGGGGAGGGGCGCGGAAAGAUGAGAUCUCGAGACCACGCGCUGGGCGGUCGCCGCCGCGGUGCCUGGAGGUCCCGGCGGUGCAGCUGACCCGCGUCACGUGACGCACGAGCUGGCCGGGCCACUGGCUGCGGGGGCGCGAGGUCCCGAGGGCCUGGCCACCUGCUUGGCGCCGAUAGGGGGAAGGUGUGGCUAUCUCCCGCAGCGGAAGGAGGGGGCGUGGGGAGUGAGGUCCUUUUCCCCACCCCGCGAGGGAGGUGCUCUGAGAAACUCUUUCACACGAUCAUGCAUCAUCACUACCUCAAAGCGUUUAGGCGUCCUCAAAGCGUUUAGGCGUCCUCACAGCCUAGCUGACGGGACUGACCACCUUUUUGGCCAUAGGAGCCCUUCAAACAGACCAGCAAAGAAAAAAAUUAUAAAGUGCCCCAGACGGCUUAGCGAAUAGGCCGUACUUGAUGUGGCAAGAUUAGCCUCCAUUGCCAGAUCAUCAGCACAAUUCGGUGUUAGGACCCGGAAGAAACUUAUGAACCCAUCCGCUGUGUCAUGGACUAUUUUCUACAUGUUUAUAUUCCAAAGUGCGGGCAUAGGAAAAACUUAGGCUAAUCUCAAAUUAAUGGGGUGCUUGGAACAAAUCUGUACAGUCUACCUAGGAUGCCCAAAUGAAGAGGAAAUUAACAGUUCCUAAUUUACAGAUUUCCUUUUGACUUAAAAAAUACCUGUGGACAUCAAAUGGCAUGCAAAAUCAUAGUAAAACCCUACAAACCGAGAUCUAUUUUAUAGAGAAGAGGGUUGAAUUUAGUUAUGCUAUGAUUAUAUCAGUUUGUAAUAAAAGACUGUUAAAAAUGGAACCAAACUAAUGUAGGUGACAGUGAAAGCAAGUUAUUGGUAUCUUAAAUUUUUAAACCAUUUCUCUAUUUAGCACAAGAUUGUUUACAAAUUUUUCACCACAAAUUAUCUAAUAGGGUAUCCAAGAUGUAUCAUUCAUAGCCCUAAUAACUCUUAGCAUAUGUUACCUUGUUUUUAUAAUUAUUUCCAUGAAUCAUUUGCUUCCCCACUAGCUCAUGGGCUUCUAAAAAGCAGACACGACCACCCGCGUACACUAUAGGCUGUUAUUUUCUAUUUUAGAUAAGGAAACAGAAAGGGUAAAUGAUUUGCCCGAAGUCAGGAUUGGAAAGUGUUGAACACUGGUCUUUUAACCCUAUCAAAAGUGCACCUUUAACAAGGAUGUCCCCUCUCACCAAUUCUGUUCAAUAUUGUACUUGCAG
rnacentral:lncRNA from 10 species